rnacentral:rRNA from 1 species
CACGUAGGGCGCAAGCGUUGUCCGGAAUUAUUGGGCGUAAAGAGCUCGUAGGCGGUCUGUUGCGUCCGCUGUGAAAACUCGGGGCUUAACCCCGAGCCUGCAGUGGAUACGGGCAGACUAGAGGUAGGUAUGGGAGAAUGGAAUUCCCGGUGUAGCGGUGAAAUGCGCAGAUAUCAGGAGGAACACCAAUGGCGAAGGCAGCUCGCUGGGACGGUACUGACGCUGAGACGCGAAAGCGUGGGGAGCAAACAGG